UCAAACUUCGCCCCCAAAAUCAUUUUAACAUCCGUUUUCAAAAAAAAAAAGAAAAAAUCCUCUGGAAGAGGAUUUGGGGGCCGAUCCCGGAGCUGCUGAGCCUCCGUCCAGGGGUCUCCUCACGCGCUCACGCGCCGCCCUGUACGGUGGUCUGAGGGUUAAAAUCCUCGUCCUUCCACAGGUAAUCUCUUCCCCUUUUUAAAAAUUACUAUUUUUUGCUAAAAUGAUGUACAUACAUGCAUAUGCUCUAAAAUGAAAAAAACACACAGUUAAAUCACCUUUUCUUUGAAACUGCUUGUAUUCUCUUUUUUUAUUUCUGUAUGCAUGUGUGUGUAAUCGUUACAAGAGUUACAAAGGCUUUUUAUAGCCUACGGAUUUGUUACAUAAGGAAAGAAAUCUCUGAUUUCUAUUGUAUCUUUGACUGAUGUGCUGCGAUUUCCUUGCCAUUUUCUACUCUGCUUUUUCGCGUAUCUGCUGUUUGUUUCCUUUUCUUGUAGGCAAUUGAGCGAGGGAUCCGGCAAUGACCAUGCUGGUGUAGACGCGUGCACUAAUCACGGUGCUGAUGGAGGGUUACUGAAACAUCGUGGGAGACGAGCAGACGCAUCCGUUGAAAUUGCUUCUGGAAGCUUCUACUUGCGACGCGAGGAGAAAGGCAGAAACCCUAGGGUUUGCUGCCUUGGUGUAACAAGCUGGGCCAAUUGGGCUUUUUGAAUUUGGGCUAGCUAGUUUUAAUUGGGUCACGGGUGUUUGUGGGUCUGCUGGGUAGUUUGGGCCUGAUUAGGUUACAAGUGUAACGGGCUUUGGGCUCACUAGGCUUUGAGGCCUGUUUAUUUGUAAAUAGACUUUAAUGGACAUUUUUUAAAUAAAUAUUUAUUCAUAUUCUGCUUUCAGCCCGGUUAAAUUUGGGCUUUUACACCAUGA
rnacentral:lncRNA from 1 species